GACGUAGGGGGCGAGCGUUGUCCGGAUUUAUUGGGCGUAAAGAGCUCGUAGGCGGCUCGUUGCGUCGGCUGUGAAAACCCGGGGCUCAACCCCGGGCCUGCAGCCGAUACGGGCAGACUAGAGUUCGGCAGGGGAGACUGGAAUUCCUGGUGUAGCGGUGAAAUGCGCAGAUAUCAGGAGGAACACCGGUGGCGAAGGCGGGUCUCUGGGCCGAUACUGACGCUGAGGAGCGAAAGCGUGGGGAGCGAACAGG
rnacentral:rRNA from 1 species